GACGAACCGAGCGAACGUUGUUCGGAAUCACUGGGCUUAAAGGGCGCGUAGGCGGGCUGCCGCGUCCGGGGUGAAAGCCCCCCGCUCAACGGGGGAACGGCCUCGGAUACGGGCGGUCUCGAGGGGGGUAGGGGCACUUGGAACUGUGGGUGGAGCGGUGAAAUGCGUUGAUAUCCACAGGAACUCCGGUGGCGAAGGCGAGGUGCUGGACCCCAUCUGACGCUGAGGCGCGAAAGCCAGGGGAGCGAACGGG
rnacentral:rRNA from 1 species